UAUUGUACAAAAUAACUGCAUGAAACGACUAUUUAUUCAUCCAAAAUUCCUAAUAUAACCAAUCCGAAAAAGUUUAUUUGUCCAGUGUCUUUGAAGUAUUUGUAAAACAAACAAACAAACAAAAUUAAUCCAUUUUACUCCGAAGCGGCCGAAGGCUUCUCUUCAGAAGCGUUAGAUGACCUUUGCUUCUUAAAUUUUCUUCCUCUGUUACUAUAUUUACCAGGACGCUGACGAUCCAUCUCUUUAAAAGCGUCAAAACGUCUGCGUUUGCUGCUAAACUUUGGUGGAUCGUUUUUAUGUAAUUCAGCUUUCAUGUCAACAUACUCCUUUUUGCUCAUUAUAGUGAGCUCGUCCUCGCCCCAUUUCAAAGGUGCAGUUUUGACUUUCUCAAGAAAUUUAUUAGCAACAUCGGGUUCCUUGAAUUCAACAAAUACGCUUCCCUUAAAUUUUUUAUCGUCAUCCCUUCUCAUACGGACAGCACUAAUGGGACCAGCAUUUUCUUCAAAGAAUUUUUCCAAAGCAAUUUGAGUGUCAUCUUUUUCAUCACCGAAACCUUUGCAGUAGACACUUCUUUCCAUGACGCUCUUGUUGUCUACACGAACUAGAGGAAUCAUACGACGUACUUUUUCGCCAGCUUCAUCGACUUCAAGAAGUUCAGGACUCUUGCGAAGAGCAUUUACAAUGGCUUCCAAAGGCUGAAAACGACGCAUACGUUUGAAAUUAGCAAUUGUUUGAAUGGGAACCCAUCCAUCAUUUUUUUGAGAAGUAGUCCAUAAAAAUUUAUCAUGGGGUAAGUUGGUGUCCGAAAAAUAAAAUUCUAUUCAUACUGUUAGUAACGACCACUCAACACAAAAAAGGUUUUAAUCCAACGUAAACAAAGUGUGUAACAUACCAACUUGCUUUAAAACUUCAGCUUCAUCAAAAGAUAAAUCUUUUUUUCCAUCAUCUUCCUUCUUUUCAGUAGUUUCCUCCUUUUUUUCUUCACUAGUAGUAUCUUUUUGACUUUCUACUACUUUUCCAGCUUCCUCGGCCUUGGGAACCUCUGAAGAAUUCUCCUGCUUAGAUGAGAUGUCCUUAAUUUCUUCCUUCUGUUCUUCAGUUGACAUGAUGUUAAUUAUUCGUAGAGAGACAGGCAAAGGGCAAAUUUCAUAAGAAGUUGGAUUCCUCUCCUAGAAGCAUUUCUAACCCUACCCUAUUAUCGAACUGACAUUAUUUUCCUACUCAUGAAGACAAUGUUAAAAGUUGGCACUUAAAAAAGAAGUAGUUUAUUCAUAAUAGAUUUAUAAUAGAUAGAAUAAUCCCAUGAAUUUCCAUUGUUUUUUUUUUUGAAAAGAUUAACAGAGAUUGCUCCUUACAAUGUAGCUCUGGAUACAAUUUAACCAUAAUGACAAGCAGUAGCUUUU